rnacentral:miRNA from 1 species
UUUCUUUUAAAUCAGGGCUGUCCAACCUGCGGCCCCCCCAGAUGUUGCUGAACUACAAUUCCCAUGAUUCCCUGGCUAUCUUUUUUUAAUUGAAAGAAUCAUGGGAGUUGUAGUUCAGCAACAUCUGGGGGGGCCGCAGGCUGGACAGCCCUGUUCUAAAUGAAG